rnacentral:rRNA from 1 species
GUGCACCAGUCGAGAAACCUCCGCAAUACACGAAAGUGUGACGGGGCCAUCCCGAGUGCCGUCCGCUGAGGACGGCUUUUCCCCAGUGUACAUAGCUGGGGGAAUAAGGAGAGGGCAAGCCUGGUGUCAGCCGCCGCGGUAAUACCGAGCUCUCCGAGUGGUGGGGACGCUUAUUGGGCCUAAAGCAUCCGUAGCCGGCUGGGCAAGUCCUCCGUUAAAUCCAACGAUUCAAUCGUUGGGCUGCGGGGGAUACUGGUCCAGCUUGGGGGCGGGAGAGGCCGACGGUAUUCCCGGGGUAGGGGUGAAAUCCUAUAAUCCCGGGAGGACCACCAGUGGCGAGGGCUGUCGGCUAGAACGCGCCCGACGGUGAGGGAUGAAAGCU